AAUUUCCACCAAUAAAUUAUAUACCAUAUUGACGCAAAUGAGUCUAACCGUUUUUUUCGAAAGAUCUCAGCCAUUGAAAGUCCUCAAGAUCAAAAAUCAUGGCCAUAUAAAGUCUAUGAUCUUUCUUUUUCAUUUAUACUUUCUAUGGAGGUCAGCCAUUGUGACACGAUUUCAACCUGGAUAAAUUGAGCUCCUAAUACCGGUACCGAAAAUCCCCAAAAAUGGGUACCGGUAAUCGGUACCGAUACCGAACAUACUCGGUACGAUAUGGUUUGGUGCCGGUUCGGUAUGGGUAUGGUAUUUGAGGGUAAAAACCGCUAAAUACUGGUACCAAAAUUGUCAAAAAUCUGUAUUGAAUCGGUACCGGUACCAUUUGCUCAUCCCUAAUUUGCAAUGAAGGACUUUAAUGGUGGGAUCUGUAUCAUGUCAAGCCUUCCAUCACUUACCAAAAGGGCUCAUGUUCUAUCCUGCCAUGCCUUCUAUUUCUGAAUACAUGUUAUCUUAAUGGUGAAGCAUACUUAUCACUUGAGAAAUGGGUUUAAUGUUACACAGUUCCAUCAUGAUUUACAUGAUCUUUCAAGGCCUCUCUACAUAUUUACAGGGAUUGUAACUUUAUUUAGUGAUGGAAGAGAAACGUUGUUUAGAUGCAUGUCACUUGUGCAAUCUUAUAAAUGAACUUAUUUCAUAUUUCAUUUCAACACCUUACUAUUUUCUUCUUGCAGUAUAUGCAAUCUUAUAAAAGCUUUGGAGUGUACAAACAUGAGUAAAAUAUUGAAUCGGGUCGUAUGAGGAGAGUAUGCUCUAAGGGAUACAGUGAGAGAGGAUAUUGUACAAAUUACUCACCUUUGGCGUAGGAAUUUUUAAACAAAUAGUCUUUUGUUUAGAGUACAAAGAAUAGUUUUUUUGUCAUUAUACCAUUAAUAUACCCGUCCAUUGGACGGGUAUUAAACUAGU